ACGGUCAAAGAUACGAUUGAUUUCUUAUAAAGCAUUUACUGUUUGUUUGCAUAUUUUUUAUUGCUUUCAAUUUAGUUGCAUUUUCUUUUCUUGUGUAAAAGACUAGUGUUUAUUUUUUCUUGGCAAUUGGUCCUCUGGCUAUUUGACCUUUUGCACUCUAAUGAAGACUAUAUUUGUGGUCCAUGAAAAUCCUUACAUUUUGUGUAUU
rnacentral:lncRNA from 1 species